rnacentral:rRNA from 1 species
GACGUAGGGUGCAAGCGUUGUCCGGAAUUAUUGGGCGUAAAGAGCUCGUAGGCGGCUUGUCGCGUCGGCUGUGAAAACCUGGGGCUCAACCCCGGGCCUGCAGCCGAUACGGGCAAGCUAGAAUUCGGUAGGGGAGACUGGAAUUCCUGGUGUAGCGGUGGAAUGCGCAGAUAUCAGGAGGAACACCGAUGGCGAAGGCAGGUCUCUGGGCCAGUACUGACGCUGAGAAGCGAAAGCGUGGGGAGCGAACAGG